rnacentral:rRNA from 1 species
AGCAUGUGGUUUAAUUCGAAGCAACGCGAAGAACCUUACCAGGUCUUGACAUCCCCUGACAACCAAGAGAUUGGGCGUUCCCCUUCGGGGGACAGGGUGACAGGUGGUGCAUGGUUGUCGUCAGCUCGUGUCGUGAGAUGUUGGGUUAAGUCCCGCAACGAGCGCAACCCUCGCCUCUAGUUGCCAGCAUUCGGUUGGGCACUCUAGAGGGACUGCCGGCGACAAGUCGGAGGAAGUGGGGAUGACGUCAAAUCAUCAUGCCCCUUAUGACCUGGGCUACACACGUGCUACAAUGGGCGGUACAAAGGGCUGCGAACCCGCGAGGGGGAGCGAAUCCCAAAAAGCCGCUCUCAGUUCGGAUUGCAGGCUGCAAUUCGCCUGCAUGAAGUCGGAAUCGCUAGUAAUCGCAGGUCAGCAUACUGCGGUGAAUACGUUCCCGGGCCUU